GGGCCCAUAGCUCAGCGGUAGAGCAGAAGACUCAUAAUCUUUUGGUCCGGGGUCCGAAUCCCUGUGGGCCCA
rnacentral:tRNA from 1 species